rfam:Capsicum annuum cultivar Zunla-1 chromosome 11, whole genome shotgun sequence
AUCAUCUCUUCGAUGACAUUUGAUAAAGUUGGAAUGAUAAAGAGAAGAUUAGCAUGUUCCCCGUGCAAGGAUAAUAUGCACAAAUUAAAAAAUGAUCCAAAUUUUU